rnacentral:rRNA from 1 species
UGGGGAAUUUUGCGCAAUGGACGAAAGUCUGACGCAGCAACGCCGCGUGGGUGAUGAAGGUCUUCGGACUGUAAAACCCUGUCGUCAGGGACGAAGGUGUGCAUGUUAAUAGCGUGUGCACUUGACGGUACCUGGAGAGGAAGCCCCGGCUAACUCUGUGCCAGCAGCCGCGGUAAUACGUAGGGCUUAAACGUUAUCCGGAAUUAUUGGGCGUAAAGAGUUUGUAGGCGGUUUGAUUGAUUUUUGGUUAAAGCCCUUAGCUUAACUGAGGAAUCGCCAAAAAUAUCAUCAAACUAGAGAUUUGUCGGGGCAAGUGGAAUUCUCGGUGUAGGAGUGAAAUCCGUUGAUAUCGAGAAGAACACCAAUAGCGAAGGCAGCUUGCUAGGCAAAAUCUGACGCUGAGAAACGAAAGCGUAGGGAGCAAACGGG